GAUGAACGCUAGCGGGAGGCCUAAUACAUGCAAGUCGAACAGUAACAGGGGUAGCAAUACCCGCUGACGAGUGGCGCACGGGUGCGUAACACGUACACAAUCUACCUUAUACUGGAGCAUAACCUUGGGAAACUGAGGCUAAUUCUCCAUAACAUAUUGAAGAGGCAUCUCUUUAAUAUUAAAACUCAGGUGGUAUAAGAUGAGUGUGCGUCUGAUUAGCUAGUUGGUGGGGGUAAUGGCUCACCAAGGCAACGAUCAGUAGCUGGUCUGAGAGGAUGAUCAGCCACACGGGCACUGAGACACGGGCCCGACUCCUACGGGAGGCAGCAGUAGGGAAUAUUGGACAAUGGGCGCAAGCCUGAUCCAGCCAUCCCGCGUGAAGGAUUAAGGCCCUCUGGGUUGUAAACUUCUUUUCUUUGGGAAUAAAAACUCCGUUUCUACGGAGCUUGAAGGUACCAGAGGAAUAAGCACCGGCUAACUCCGUGCCAGCA
rnacentral:rRNA from 1 species